CUCGUAGGCGGGAAACUAAGCGGAUCUUAAAAGUGCGGGGCUCAACCCCGUGAUGGGGUCCGAACUGGUUUUCUUGAGUGCAGGAGAGGAAAGCGGAAUUCCCAGUGUAGCGGUGAAAUGCGUAGAUAUUGGGAAGAACACCAGUGGCGAAGGCGGCUUUCUGGACUGUAACUGACGCUGAGGCUCGAAAGCUAGGGUAGCGAACG
rnacentral:rRNA from 1 species